CUGCUGCUGGGAAAGACCCUUUUCGGCUCUCCCCCACUCCCGCCAUUUGCCAGGCUUAGAAUAGAAUCUCUCUUUUUCCCGCUUGGUCGUAUUUUUUUUCUCCCUCUCCCUCUCCCUCUCUCCCUUCUAACACGCCUUGGCGGUCAACGGGCCUGCAAUAUCAAAUCAAAUAAAGACGCUCCGUGUUUUGGGGGCCGAAAAAGCGCACGGAAAGAAACAGAGUAAACAAAAGGCGAUAAUCGGCAGCAAAGAAAACGUUGAAAAAAAACAAAAAGGGCAGAACGCUGUGAAUCACGUACCUUUCCCGUUGCGGAUAGGUGAAUAGAGUAUCUUCAGGAUAGCAUCUUCCUGCAGCCACUCUACCAGUUCUUCCCAGAGCGGAAGAAGGGAGAGGUCUCCGUGUAUAUCAUUCGCGAUGUGCAGUUGCCAGUCCGGACUCCUGAUUCGCUGAUAAUGGUGAAGCAGGUCCCAGCAAAAGGGAAAAGGCCAAGCGCAAUCGCCUCAGCCCGUUCAAACAAGGGGGAGGGAAAGUAUACAAAAGGCGGACCGAAAUUAAAAAAAAAAAGCAACGAAAAACGAGCACGCAAGUAAGAAAGUUUAAGCUAUAGUUAUCAGCAAUAACAAUAAAUGCAGGGCUGUUUAGCCUGUAGCAGAAGCCGCACAAGCAUAAGCACCAAAAAUAUCGAAACUAAAAUAAAAAUGGGGAAAAAAGAGAAUGAUCACCCCCUAGGGGCAUUCCAGGGGACCCUUCGUUUGCCCUGCUCUGUCUUUGUUUUUUCUUUUCUUUUCUUUUUCUUUUUUUUGCACCCCGGAGUCUCGAAAUGGUGGCUUUUCACAUUUAUCCUUGGCCCCGUUCAAGGGAAAGAUCGCAGC
rnacentral:sRNA from 1 species